GGAGGUUUUUCACCUUCCUCUGUAACCUGGGGCAUGGGUCACUUGCUGGAGGAUUCUCUGCUCCUUGAAGUCUUUAAACUUUUUUGAGGACUUCAGUAGCUCAGACAUAGGUAAGAGAUUUAUCUCAGGAGUGGGUCGGUGAGAUUCUGUGGCCUGCGUUGUGCAGGAGGUCGGACUAGAUGAUCAUAAUGGUCCGUUCUGACCUUAAUAUCUAUGAAUCUCUGAAUUUACUUAAAGUAAGAUCCCCCUUUUUAAGUUAUUAUUUGCUAAUUCUUUUCAGAAUAUAGACUUUUUGGCCCCUCAGUCCCAAGGUACCUUCUCCAUGCUUCUGGGGCCCGAUAGACCUCCUUCUUGAGGCCUGUGCUGUGAUUCUGCAAGAUUUUGCUCCUUGGUUCAUGGCCCUGACAGCCUUCCUUCUUGCAGUCUCCUUUCUUUGUCUUUCAGGAGGCUUCUCAUUUGUCUCCAGGGACUGAUUUAACUACACGACCUUCCUGUCAGAAUCGGUGGAGUGCAAGCUUUCCCCCAUCAAGCUUCGGCAUUCCAUCUCUUUCCUGGAUGACCUCCUCUGAUGGGGAGGAGGGAGUUCAGUCCUGAUGGCUCAUUCAGUCCCUGGCUUUUCUGCAGAGACUUCUGCCAACAGUUGGUCCAGAGGUGUAAGGAGAGAGAAAUCAUCUACAUAAGUGAACAAAGAAAAUAAGACCUUGGAAAAACAGGAAUGUUUCUUUUUGGGUUCUUUUGUGUGUCUGUUUAAUGGGUUUUAGUUGACCUUCACAUGUCGUUUUGGUCUUUUAGCUAAUCUCAAGUGCACCUUUAAUUUAAAAUCUAAUACAUCUUUUAGGGGACUAAGGGUCUGAUCCAAACCCCAUUAACUUCUAUGGGAUUAUUCACAUGCCUAAAGAUAAAAAUGGGCAAAAGUGCUUUGCUGGAUGGGAAACAGAGCGCUCAGUACUUUGUAGGAUCGAGCCCUUAAGAGGCUCAAUGAUAGUUUACAAUGAUAGUUGAGAACAAGAUGGAACAGGUAGGCGAAACAAACACAUGGAGGUGAGAGAUGAGUCUGGUCAAACUAUUAUAUAAAUAUGAUUUUGUAUAGACUAGCUGUCUGCACAAUUUGUAAGUACAGAGGAUGAAAUUCUGUCCCUUUGUAGUCAACAGGAAUUUUUCCAUUAAGUUCAAAGGGGCCAGGAUUUUGUCUAGGCUUGUUUUGGAUUUGUUAAUGCAGACAAAUAAGCAGACCUGUAGUAAUAAUCUCAGGUUUCCGCCUGUGUAACCAUUAUCAGAAACAUACCAAUAAACUUACUUUAUCUCCUUUCUCUAAUCUAUACAUCAGAUUCUUCAUAUUGAGUCGCAUCAGACAAAGAUGUUCCUUCGCCUUUGGCUCAUCAUUAAAUUUUUCUGUUAAUUUUUCCAGAUGUUUCUCAGUAUUACUAAGGUAAUCAUGAGCACAUUUGCACUAUAAUAUAAAACAAUGACAAAAUUAUAUUCUACUCAAACAAAUUAAAUAUUAAUCACUCACACACAACUCAGUAACCAACUCUAUGCACUGCAGUUCACAUGCUAGACAGAAUAAAGCCCCAAAUCUGCAAAGAUUUACCACGUGUGCUGAACUUUAUGCACAUGAGUGUCAUGUUGGAUUGUAUUAAAGAAGUUCUGUAUUAAACUCACAAAUGAGUUUGAUUCCACAUAGUUUAAAUUCCAGGGUAUUACUAAUUAAGAGGUCUCUUGGUUUUUGGUCUCUUAUUUUUUACUGUUUCUCUCCCUCUCUAUGUGAAACUUGCAAGCCGCUAAUUGUGUUAGUACAUCCUAAGACAGAAUCUGUUCUCAAAGCAAUACUUUGUAACAACUACUACUCAAACAGAGAGAGACUCAAAGCGAUACUUUGUAACAAAAGAAACAGCACACAGAGACUCCCCGCCCUUUUGCUGUAUUUAUCUCGCUUUGUUAACAAUUGUGAUUAAAAUCGAGAUAGAGGAUGUAUGUGGAUGUAUGCUUGGUGUGGAUAAUAAAUGAAUGAUCAGGGAGGUGCCAACCUAGGAGUUCAGUAUUGAUUGGCCGAAGAAUGUGCAGAGUGGAGACAACCAGAUGAUCCCCGGAGGGCAGACUGGAAUCCACCCAACAGCCUCAAGAAUGGGUGAACCAAAGAACAAGAUAACAUCUGGCAGCACGGAGCUGUCAGGAAUGUACCAUCUGCUGAUUGAUUCAGCAACAGCAUGAUGAAGCAAUUCCCAUAGACUGGCAUAGGAAUAAAUUCCUAUAAAAAUGGACUCUAGAAACUGGGAACUUUGGGAUAUGAUUCUGAAAACCAACUUCCAGGAGCAUCAGAUGCUCAUCUGACAAGGUCCUGCUCCCUCCUUGUGUCCAGGCCACCAGGCCAGUGGCUUGGCAUGAGCAACUCUAAGGCUGGUAACUAUGAUAACAACCUUGCAGAACCUGUGUGUGUGUGAAUGAAUGUGUGAAUAAAUAUGAAAUUGAAUGAAAUGUUAUAGCUAUAACUAACUGCUUACUAUGAUUCUUUCUGUAUUCACAAUAAAUGUGGCAUUUUGCCUUAUUCCCUUUAAUAAGAUCCUGCUGGUUUUUAUUUUAUUGGUAUAACAUGAGUAGUUCCAUUAAAUUCAAUGAAACUACUCACAUGCAGAAAGUUAGGCCAAUGAGUAAAUAUUAAAAGGAUCAGGGCUUUUGAGACUCAGUCUUUCUCCUACUGAAGUGAAUGUCAAAACUCUCAUUGAUUUCAGUGGUAAUAGGAUCAGAUUUUUCAUGGCAUUGUUUAACAAUUUACUGUCCUCAACAUUAUUGGCAUUAAAUAUGACCCUGGAAGUCUACAACCAUUCAAUUAAAAUGUAACAGAAUUAAUAAUAAUAGCAAUAAUAAUAAUAAUAAUGGAAAUUUUAAAAUAUAUUUGUAUCUCAGAUGAUAAUUAAACCUUUCAAAUAUAUAAACUGCAUUUAAUCUAUAGUAAUCUAUGUUAAUAUAAUCUUUCUACUAAACUACAGUACAUAUCUGCUGCUGUCACUGAGUUCUCUUCUUUUUAACAGUGUGUUACAGAUAAAUAUCAUAAUUUGCAUUAGGUGGACUU